rnacentral:rRNA from 1 species
UACGUAGGGGGCGAGCGUUGUCCGGAUUUACUGGGCGUAAAGCGCGUGUAGGCGGGUGAUUAAGUUGGGUGUGAAAGCCCGGGGCUCAACCCCGGGAUGCCGUCCAAGACUGGUCUCCUUGAGGACGGAAGAGGGGAGUGGAAUUCCUGGUGUAGCGGUGAAAUGCGUAGAUAUCAGGAAGAACACCGGUGGCGAAAGCGGUCUGCUAGGCCGCAACUGACACUGAGGGACGAAAGCUAGGGGAGCGAAUGGG